rfam:Rattus norvegicus chromosome X, whole genome shotgun sequence.
GGGGAUUUAGCUCAGUGGUAGAGUACUUGCCUAGCAAGCACAAGGCCCUGGGUUCAGUCCCCAGCUCCG